rnacentral:lncRNA from 10 species
GACAGACAGUAGCCUUGAAAACUACAUAUCUGAGAGGAUUUUCUAAAUUCCCUUUUUUCCCAUUUAAAACUUCUAGAAGCUGGCCUAGCAAGAUUAAUCACAGAGUUUUGUGAAAAAGAGGUUCUAGUCAAAAAGGAAGAAGGAAAAUCUUGUCUGGUUGGUCCGAAGAGUUGAAUGGAAGAGAAAGGGAAUGGCAGAUUGAGGAAGCCAGAGAGACCCUUGUGUCUAGAUCUCCUCUUUCCAGGCUGAAGUCCUCAUGGGAGAAGAUGUGUGACAUGGAAUGAGAUGCCCCCAAAGGCUCUCAUAUUUGGCUGGCCCAAUAGAGCAGAUCACUUGGUGGUGGAGAGUAGACCAAAAGAAGGCCUGAGUGUGGCUUCCUCCUUUAAUCUGCCUCCUGUGUGUCAGAGAUAGGACUCACAAGUACCUGUGUGCCCUGAGGGAGACAGGUGGAAGUAAAUUGAGAGUCAGGUUGGUCUAGAGAACUCUCAAGUCAGGGCUCAGGGGCUGUGUAGCCAAAUGGUUGUGAGGCUUAAGGAGGGGCUAAGUCAACAGGAAGAAAACUGUGCCCUGACCAAGUCCAGAAUGUCCACACCCUGAGUUCCCCCAGCUUACACUUUCUCAGCAGAUGCGAGAACACUGCACAGAUGCUCCACCGCCACUUGGCCCAUACAGCAGAUCAGGGCCUCACUGGCUUGUGCUGCCCCACAGCACAAACCAGUGAGGCCCUAGGAGGUAACCCCUUCCUACAGCCCCUGUGAUGUCAAAUAAGCUGUAUGCUCCCAAACUGCAAAUACCAUUUAGAUAAUGGCUGAAGAAGAGGGCCUCUAAGAUACUGCUCAUUUUACCAGGGACUAAUACUCUAAUGGAUUUAGUUUUUCAAAUGGGACUAUAUUUUAGAUUUUUCCUUUUUUGUUCUCCUUACCCUGUAGGUGCACAUCAUGGAGACAAUCUGACUGGUACAGAGAAAUGAAGAGACAACAUUUUCUUUCCAAAUCUGAGUGGAGAUGAAGAUUCCUGAAACAACAAUCAAAAGGAACUUUGGACUCUGACUGAGGACACAUCCAGCAAUGGCAAAGCACUCUAGCCACUGCCCAGACCCAUGGAAACUUCAGGAAGAGGCAGUUUAGUGCUUCUGGUAGUUGUCUAAUCAAGAUUAGGACUCUUAUUUAUCAUCUUCCUCUGGCAUUUUUGCACCAGUCUUCAGGUUUUAGCAUAGUAAAUAUGUUCCAGUCUGUGAAAUCU